rnacentral:misc_RNA from 1 species
UGUAAUCUCUUCUAGUCGAGUAGGAACGGCCGGCUAUCCGCUGUGAUAAUCCGUGCACGCGUGAUUCGGAGGACGAGUUAGCGGCUUCUCUACUCCACUGCUAUUGGUCAUAAAGAACGCGCGAAUCGUUCGAAAGGAAUAAUAGAAAGGCGAAUAUCGCGUCGUCGGUCCAUUUCGCAAGACGACAGAAUCCCGCUGGUUACACAUCCGGCAUAUUCGGACUUAGGCAGUUUGCCAAUGACGAUAUCGAUCUUCGUGCGAGAUCCGACCAACAGAGAGGUAACGACGAAUAGAUUAACGAUAUUCCGCCGAGUACGAGAAGGAGAAGAUCCAAAUGAUUUAAGACGCGCUCCAACCCCGCGACGUUCUACGAAAAAAUAUGUUCCGAGAAAGUUGGUCGUGCCGCGAGAGGCAUAUUGUCUGGGAUGAAAAUGGAACGAGGAAUUUGCCAGCUCCUCUUGUACCGAGUUUCGGGAGUGAGGACUUGUUCGGGCAAACGAG